UUACCAAGAAACUUGUCUCCCUUGUUCAUGCCUGGUAUUUAAAGAAUGGACUUGAAAACUUUACUGACACCCUCCCACGGAUUUAUAAGAUUGUACGUAUUGAACAGCCUGACACUGAUCGUAUUGAAGCUUUUAAAAACUUACCUUUCCAUGAGUCCAAUGAUGAAAGACCAAGAGUCUUCAUAAUUGGAAAUAGCAACCUCGGGGUGAUGAAUCGAGCGCUGGAAAGUACUCUUGAAUGGAAACUCACUCAUUCAAGGAAUGCUUACUCCUAGGUACAAGCGUCACGAACCAUCAGGAGCCCCCGCUGGUCAUGCGCAAACAGGUUUUGGGAAAUCUAAAGUCUUUCAUGCCUUAAGCACAGCCCCCUACGAUCCUGAAUAUUUUGACUUCUUUGGGAUCCAUGUCGACAAAAUGAUGAGUGUAAUUAAACCUACAGGGGCAAAAGUGAUAUACCUCACACCCUUCCCUAGAUACAUGAAAUCUUGUUGCAAUGAAUCGGGACACUUUCACGCAAACUACUCAGGGACUGCCUUUAAUGCAGAGGUCGUCAGACUCGGUGUAUUCCUCUCGAGGUUGCCAUCACUAAAAGGUUGUUUCGUCCUCGCGCCUGAGGAUUUUUGCGAUCGUAAUGAGUGGGUGUCUAGGGGAAGCAUGCUAUGCGAUGAUUAUGUACACCUUACCCCCAAGGGGAUUAAUUCUGUCCGGGAUCUUGUGCAAAGAUGCAUACAGUUUAUUAGACAGGUUCCUGAAGUUCCAAUCCCAUCUCUAGGUAGUCGCGUUCCCGAUGGACUUCGUUUCUCCAAGUGGGUUGGUGAGUUUCGGGCUGUCUGUGGUUAUGACGAUCUCAGAUCUACCAGCAGUGCGAAGCGCCACCUGCCUGCUCAUAAGCUCCAGAGACCAGCAAAACGCUGAUCUCAAGCUAACCUCUUUUUCGUGAGCCAAGUAAAACCUCCAAACUUGCUUGCCUUGAUGGAAGAAGCCAGUCUUUUCCAAGCUUAUGAAAACUAAACCAAACCUAUCCUACUGAACCUUUGAACCUACAAACCCAUCUAUCUACCAACACCCUGCUCCCACUACUCCCACUAAAUCCUUCCAAACAUCUCAUUCCACAAGGAAACUUAUCCACAAAAAUGGAUUCCAAGCAAACAGUCUUCCAUCCAAGCAAACAGUCCUACCCUAAUCUAGACUGAUGGUAAUAACCUCAUAUUGAAACCUCAACUCCGGAAGUGAAUAUUCUUAAAGCUUUGGUCAAAAACAGUUAGACGUACUACAACGAUUCGGAUCUGCUGACCUGGUAUGGUAUCUGGUCCCCACACCGAACCAACGUAACGUGACAUUAACGUUGGACGUACUACACCGAUUCGGAUCUGCUGACCUGGUAUGGUAUCUGGUCCCCACACCGAACCAACGUAACGUGACAUUAACGGUAAAAAAGUUUAAAGAUGACUUCCUACCUGGAAUUAAAAAA